CAAGGCUCUAUGGACAUGCACAGAGAAAUGAAGCUUCACAUGAGGUUUCCUAUUUUCCUCAUCCUAGCCCUUCCGGCACCUCACCCCAGGCACCACACCCCUCUUUUGAAAAGCUGCUUUAAUUUCUUGUUUUUUCUUUGCUGUUCCAACCAUAUGUGCCCUCUCUUAUUUUUUCUUCAAACUAGGUAUACAAAGUGGUAAAGCCCAGGGUAAAAAGUCCUGCUCAAACUGCCUCAACCAGUCACUAGCGUUCACUCCCUGCAUGAUGAGAUAAGCAUCUCCCUCUCUGCAGCAUCAUCCUGCACCUCCAGGUUCAGGCCUGCCAGAAAUCCCUGCAUGUUUUCAACCUAGCUGAGGAGCCACUUCCUCUGCUGAAGUUAUUCCUCUAGCCCUAAGUCCUGUCACCUUCCCUGUGGCCAGGGUUGCAGCAUGUGAGAGUUAUUGGGUUAGA
rnacentral:lncRNA from 1 species